GAUGAACGCUGGCGGCGUGCCUAAUACAUGCAAGUCGAGCGAAUUGACAGAGGUGCUUGCACCUCUCGAUUUUAGCGGCGGACGGGUGAGUAACACGUGGGUAACCUACCUAUAAGACUGGGAUAACUUCGGGAAACCGGAGCCAAUACCGGAUAAUAUUUAGCUUCGCAUGAAGCAAUAGUGAAAGACGGGUCUGCUGUCACUUAUAGAUGGACAUGGGGUGUAUUAGCUAGUGGGUGAGGGAACGGCUCACCAAGGCAACGAUACAUAGCCUACCUGAGAGGGUGAUCGGCCACACUGGGACUGAGACGCGGCCCAGACUCCUACGGGAGGCAGCAGUAGGGAAUCUUCCGCAAUGGACGAAAGUCUGGCAGAGCAACGCCGCGUGAGUGAAGAAGGUUUUCGGAUCGUAAAACUCUGUUGUAAGGGAAGAACAAGUACGUUAGUAACUGAACGUACCUUGACGGUACCUUACCAGAAAGCCACGGCUAACUACGUGCCAGCAGCCGCCGUAAGAC
rnacentral:rRNA from 1 species